AUUGAACGCUGGCGGCAGGCCUAACACAUGCAAGUCGAGCGCGCGGCGGACGCGUGUGUAAUGUAUGGGGACUGCCCGACAGAGUGGGAUAACUACUGGACACGGUGGCUAAUACUGCCUACGACCUGCCACCCCAUAGGGGAUUCGCUAGUAGGUAAGGUAAUGGCUUACCUAGGCGACGCUCCCUAGCUGGUCUGAGAGGAUGAUCAGCCACACUGGGACUGAGACAAGGCCCAGACUCCUACGGAGGCAGCAGUGGGGAAGAUUGCACAAUGGGCGCAAGCCUGAUGCAGCCAUGCCGCGUGUAUGAAGAAGGCCCUAGGGUUGUAAAGUACUUUCAGUCGGGAGGCGUUACCGACAGAAGAAGCACCGGCUAACUCCGUGCCAGCCGCCGCGGUAAUAC
rnacentral:rRNA from 1 species